GUGCUCACCUUGGCAGCACAUAUGUUAAAAUUGGAACGAUACAAAGAAGAUUAGCACGGCUCCUGCGGAAGGAUGACAUGCAAAUUAGUGAAGCAUUUCAUAUUUUU
rnacentral:snRNA from 1 species